rfam:Triticum aestivum genome assembly, contig: Triticum_aestivum_CS42_TGACv1_scaffold_194827_3AL
UCGAUGCAGAUGAGGAGACACUAAAUUAUGAGUAAUUUACAUCUGAGGCAUUUCUGUGAUGUCACUAUUUCACUUUGGAUCAGAUUGUCUU